rnacentral:tRNA from 1 species
AACAUUUAAGGUUUUAUACUAUUAGCCUUCAAAGCUAAAGACUCAUUUGAAAAUGUUA